GAUGAACGCUGGCGGCGUGCCUAAUACAUGCAAGUAGAACGCAGUUGCGGACGGGUGAGUAACGCGUAGGUAACUGCCUCAUAGCGGGGGCUAACUAUUGGAAACGAUAGCUAAUACCGCAUACUGUGAGAUGGACCUGCGUUGUAUUAGGUAGUUGGUGGGGUAAAGGCGCACCAAGGCGACGACACAUAGCCGACCUGUGAGGGUGAUCGGCCACACUCGGACUGAGACACGGCCCAGACGCCUUCGGCAGGGAGCAGGAGGGAAUCUGCGGCAAUGGGCGGAAGUCUGACCGAGCAACGCCGGGUUAGUGAAGAAGGCUGUCGGAUCGUAAAGCUCUGUUGUACGGGAAGCGGUAACUACCCAGAAAGGGACGGCUAACUACGUGCCAGCAGCCGCGGUAAUUC
rnacentral:rRNA from 1 species